rfam:Bradyrhizobium sp. BTAi1, complete genome.
ACCUACUGUGAUGACGACGGUGCCCCAUAACCGGGGCUCAAAAGGGAAUGCGGCGCCGGACGCGUCUCGCGAGGGACAUGAUCGAAGGGCGCAGCUGUCCCCGCUCGUGCAGGCGGCAAAUGACGCGUCAUAGGCCACUCGGAAAUCCUGGUCCCGGAACGACGUCAUGGCGGCUAUGACACGCGAGCCAGGGCACCCGCCGUCAGCGGUGGUCACAC